GCGGGGGUCGCCCAGACUGGCCAAAGGCGUCGGGCUUAGGACCCGAUCUCGCAGGAGUUCGUGGGUUCAAAUCCCACCCCCCGCA
rnacentral:tRNA from 1 species